CUCUAUUAGAAAUUAUUAAUAGUAAAAUCUGCUCAAUGAAAUUUAAAUAGCCGCAAUUUGUGCUAAGGUAGCAUAAUAAUUUGUCUUUUAAUUAAAGACUAGAACAAAAGAUUUAUCAUUUUGAAUUAUAUUUUAAACUUAAAUAUUUAAAUUAUUUUAAACAUAAAAAAAUUUUUAUAAAAAAAAAAGACGACAAGACCCUAUUGAAUUUUACUUAUGUUUUACUGGGGUAGUAAAUUAAUUAUUAUUUUAAUAAAAAUAAAUCUAAAUUAACCUAAUAAAAUUAUUUAAAAUAAAUUACCAUAGGGAUAACAGCGCAAUAAUAUUUUUAAGUCCUUAUUAAAAAUAAUGAUUACGACCUCGAUGUUGACUUAAUUAUCUAAUUAACGCAGCCGUUAAUCAAGUGAGUCUGUUCGACUUAUAAAAAUU
rnacentral:rRNA from 1 species